CUUCAGAGUUUUGUCCAGUUCCCAGGUCUUGUCAUAUGGGCCUAUGGCAAUGCUGAGGUAAUGUCAUAGAGAUACUUCUCUGUGUGUUCUUGAAGUACUUGGUAAAGGUCCCACGGCUGUUUCCUUCUUGUGGGGAUAUCGGCCAAUAACAACGUCAAAAUGGCUGCCACGUGACUACCAGGAACAGAGACAGCAGGAUAAACCAGGGACAACAGCGUCUCUUGUUGGAAAAAAAGAACGAUUCCAUCAGUAUCAAGAUAAUAUAGGACUAAAAGCAAGCAGAGCCAAUAAACAUGUUGGAGACAUACAGCAUGAAUCCAGGGGACAAACAUUGACAUAAAUGUUUCUUAAGUUUUGGCCUUUCAAGGGAGUUUUUCCUAGCCACCGUGCUUCUACACCUGCAUUGCUUGCUGUUUGGGGUUUUAGGCUGGGUUUCUGUACAGCACUUUGAGAUAUCAGCUGAUGUAAGAAGGGCUAUAUAAAUUGAUUUGAUUUGCUACGCUGGUGCUCUGGGUUUGACAUGACUAAGAUGAGAAAGUGAAUUGUAGACAUAUUCGGACCUCACCUAUGGAUGUUGGUUUCCAUCAUGCUUUGCUUUAUGUUGCUGUGGUGUGACAUAGCUGGAUGAAUCUGCUCAUCUAAGGGAUGCUCUAGUGAUGAGUUUAACACAUUUAUAGACCAAUAAAUAUCAUGGUUAAAAUAGAAGUUGAAACUCCUUUACCUACUACUACAGUAACACAAUCCAACAGUUUUUUUCUGCAAGUGGGUGUGUAAUAUACUACACUUACGGAGCCGUCCUUUGACAAUCUCCUGCUGUUUCUUGGUGUCUUCCUGCUGCAGGUGUGCAGGUUGUGCUCUAGAAGGCUCAUGUUGAGAUGGAGCUCAGCCUCAGUGUGUUGGUGCUGCAGCUGGCUUUUCAGGGGCCUCCUGUCCUAUCACUCCCUGGAUGGAUGCACAGGGAAAUACAUGAUGGAAAUGAGAGAAACCACACUGCUGUUCCUCUAUAAUGACCCCCCACAUUGCAUCCUCACACUGGCAUCACAAAUGGGAAAAGCAUAAGAGAAGUGACAGUGGUAGGAAACUCACAUUUUGAGAUGUGGUGUGGGAGAGUUGUAGGUCUGCAGAAUGUAGUGGUACUGUGGCAAGUGAUAAGCCCAAGCUU
rnacentral:lncRNA from 1 species